GAUUACACCACUGCACUCCAGCUUGGGCGACAGAGUGAGACUCUGUUUCAAAAAAAAAAAAAAUUAGCGUUCACAAUUAUGAUCCUGAAUUAUUAAAGAACAUUAAACUAUGAUUGCUAUAUUUUUGUAUAGCACCAUUGUCCAUUAAGAGGUGUGGGUAUCAUGAUACUAGACAUAAAAUAAGGAGAGGUAGCUCAAUACAAUAUUUGGUUCUACUAUAAAUAGCAUUUAUACUGCUGUAAUAAUAUCUACACUAGUUAUUGAAUUACACAACUUGUAAAAUUGAAUUAUAGACAAAUUAUGGAGAAAUUAACAGUAGUUUCAGAAUAUAGUGUAAAUAUUAUUAAUCUGUGUAGGUCAAAGUACAGCUAUAGUUGACAGAGAUGGCCAGGUGGAAAUGGGAUAAAGAGAGACAAAAGCAGUAGGCACAUCAAGAGCCAACAUGGGAAGUGAAGAAAUGCACUCUCUGGUUUGUGAAAGAAGUAGUUGAAGGUUAACUGCGUUGCUUAAAAAUGCCAUGAUUCCAAGCGGAGAAACUGAGAAAGGUAAUAGAACCAUUUUGGAGGGUGGGAAAAUCAGAUGACAGAGAGACAGAGAGAGAAAUGGGAGAAAG